rnacentral:rRNA from 1 species
UACGUAGGUGACCAGCGUUGUCCGGAUUUACUGGGCGUAAAGAGCGCGCAGGCGGUCGUUCAAGUCGAGUGUGAAAGCCCCCGGCUCAACUGGGGAGGGUCACUCGAUACUGAUCGACUUGAAGGCAGGAGAGGGAAGCGGAAUUCCCGGUGUAGUGGUGAAAUGCGUAGAUAUCAGGAGGAACACCGGUGGCGAAGGCGCACAUCUGGCCCGAUACUGACGCUGAGGCGCGAAAGCUAGGGGAGCAAACGGG